UAAUGUUCAUGAUAGUUUGUUCGGUGCUGUUUCCCUCCCUGUCAGGACCAUAGCAGUGUCGUAUGAAAAUUAAUCUGACAGUGAUGAGUUGUGGCUGGAUCAGAGCUAGGAGAGAUUUGGGGUGGAGGACAGUCGGGAGCCAAUCACAAUUGUCCAGGAAUGAAGACUUUAACUAUUGUGGUAUUGACUGGAAAGGAAUGGAAGUGACAGAUGGAGGAGACUCAGGGACAUCUGUAAGAGCAGGAGUUGGAGCCAAAGUGAGAGAGAAUGAAUGGUGAGAGCACUCACAGAAGGAAUGAAGUCAGACAAUUGUGGGCAGAGUGGGCAGGAAGGAAUAGACUGGGUAGAGAGCAUGAGGCAGCCAUGUUGAAUAUGAUAGCCAGGACCUUCAGGCGGAAUGCUAUCGCUGGAAGUUAUACCAUAGCAGUAAUAUUUGAAACAGUGUGAAUUUCGAGGGACUGAAUUUAGAGAGGAAAGAACAGGCUGUGCACCACAGGACCUUUGCAAGCUCUGUACAUUAGAAUUAGGGAGAUGGGGAAAGGGGCAAAGAACCCCUGAGGAAAGGAAAGAAGUGGUGUGAAAGAGAGGUGAUCUUGGAUAUUGCCAAAUGGUAGAGACCUAAGGACAGAAUAAAUGAACUUAUCCCAACAUAUAUGAAAAAUACAAUUCAGUUUAGUUCCUUAGCCACAUAUUAAACAACUUUGAUGUGUUAGACCCAGAGAAUACAAAUAUAAAUAAAACAAGGUACCUGAGGCUGACCCAGGUAAGGAAAGAAUGCACUGGUUUCUCACACUCCGGUAUUACGGUCCUUUAGAAAGUUAUAGUUCUUAUUGUAGUUAAUCUGUUGGUAUUCUGACUUUAUACAUUUUUCAAGAAGUUAGUGAAUUUGAGCCUGCCCCUAAGAGAUGGGUCUGUUCUCAAUAUGCUGAUGAGUUCAGGUUCUGAAACUGCCAGGUUGAGUACCAGACCCUGGACUGGUAAAUUCACCAAGGGAAUGUCUUAGGAGACCGCUAGCCUUCCAGAUUAUUCCCUAGGACACAUGGUCACAGAGCAUGAUGACAAGGAGCCACAACCCACCAUAAAGGUUCAGAAGAGGGUUCUUGGAGAUGAUAACAUCUGAGUUAUAUCUUAAAGACUGAGUAACAGUUUUUAGGUAAAGUGGGGUGGGCAGGGCAUUCUCACCAUGAUCCAGGACACAGAAAAGAGAAUUAGCAUGGUGAGUUGUAGGAAUUGAAGUGUAAGUUAGGGGGUGGCUGGAGAAAUAGAUAGGGGUCAAUUCAAGGAGAACCUUGAGGCUCAUGGGUAAGAGGAAGUCAUUUGAGUUUUUUAAGAAAGAGAAUGACAGAGCAAAUUUGGAUUUAUCACUCUAGCUCUAGGUGGAUUAUGAUUUUAAGCAGGACCUUGUCCAGAGGCAGUUAAGGGGUUAUGGUCCAGAAGAAAUAUAGUUUGUUCUAAACUAUUAUAGUAGAGAAGAAACAUUUAGGAAGCAAAUGCCAGCAGGAUUAAUAUUUGGACACACAAUGUCAAAAGGAAGGAUAAGGGAGACAGAGGAGUCUAAGAGGACCCCCAGAUUCUAGUUUGGGUGUUGGACUGGAUGCCAAUGCCAUGAACUCAUACAUGGAAUACAGGGAGGAGUAUCCCAGGGUUUAUUUCAUAGAACCCAGGGGGUGGGGGAUUAAGUGGAGUGAAAAUAAUGAGAUUAGCUUUGAAAAUGUUAAUUUUGAGGUAUCUGUGGGAUUUCCAAGUUGAGAUGUAUAGCAUUCAGUUAUAUAUAGUUUCUGGGCACUCAGAGGGGAAGUCAGUGCUAACCAUAAAGAUUUGUAAGUUACCCACAUAGAGGUAGUAGUUAAAGUCUGAGACAGGUUGAGGCUGCCUGGGCAAGACAGGGAAGGACAAUGAUCUGAGCAAAAAUCCCUGGGCAGCAACUUUUAGGGGGUGGGUGGAGGAAGAAUUCUUGUAGAGGAACAAAAGUCCCGAUACCAGAAAGGAGAAGCAGAGUGGAAGAAUUUCAGGAGCCAAGAGAACAGUUCCAAGGAGGAGUGGUGGCAACUCCCAAGAGAGAUCCAGGAAACAAGGACUUAAAAGUGUCCAUUGGAUUCUGUACAAAGGGAGCCUUCAGUAACCCUGGGAAAGGUGGUCCCAGAGGUGUGGCGGGAGGGAAUGGGAGAGGAGGAGGUGAAAACAGUGAGUGUGGAUCAUUCUUUUGUAAGGCUUGCUGAGCUUCUCCAUCCUGAGAUACUGGUGUAGACCACAUCAUUUCGGUGGGCCCUCUUUUCUUUCUGCCUUCCUUCUUGCCU
rnacentral:lncRNA from 1 species